GGGGGGGGGGGGGGGGGGGGGGGGGGGGGGGGGGGGGGGGGGGGGGGCCGGGCGGGGGGGGGGUGGGCGGGUGGCGAACGGGUGAGUGAGACGUGGGUAACGUGCCCUUGGCUGUGGGGUGACUUCAGGAAACUGGGGCGAAUACCGGAUAGGAGCUCCUGCGGCAUGGUGGGGGUUGGCAAGUUUCGGCGGUUGGGGAUGGACUCGCGGCUUAUCAGCGUGUUGGUGGGGUAGUGGCUUACCAAGGCUUUGAUGGGUAGCCGGCCUGAGAGGGUGACCGGCCACAUUGGGACUGAGAUACGGCCCAGACUCCUACGGGAGGCAGCAGUGGGGAAUAUUGCACAAUGGGCGGAAGCCUGAUGCAGCAACGCCGCGUGCGGGAUGACGGCCUUCGGGUUGUAAACCGCUUUCGCCUGUGACGAAGCGUGAGUGACGGUAAUGGGUAAAGAAGCACCGGCUAACUACGUG
rnacentral:rRNA from 1 species